rnacentral:rRNA from 1 species
CAGAUUGCAGGCUGCAACCCGCCUGCAUGAAGUCGGAAUUGCUAGUAAUCGCGGAUCAGCAUGCCGCGGUGAAUACGUUCCCGGGCCUUGUACACACCGCCCGUCACACCAUGGGAGCCGGUAAUACCCGAAGUCAGUAGUCCAACCGCGUGAGGACGCUGCCGAAGGUAGGAUUGGCGACUGGGGUGAAGUCGUAACAAGGUAGC